rnacentral:rRNA from 1 species
CAGUCGCCGCGGUAAUACGGAGGAUCCAAGCGUUAUCCGGAAUCAUUGGGUUUAAAGGGUCCGUAGGCGGUCUUGUAAGUCAGUGGUGAAAGCCCAUCGCUCAACGGUGGAACGGCCAUUGAUACUGCAGGACUUGAAUUAUUGGGAAGUAACUAGAAUAUGUAGUGUAGCGGUGAAAUGCUUAGAGAUUACAUGGAAUACCAAUUGCGAAGGCAGGUUACUACCAAUUGAUUGACGCUGACGGACGAAAGCGUGGGUAGCGAACAGGAUUAGAUACCCCAGUAGUCCCUGUCUCUUAUAC